AAACUUUUCCAAGUUAACAUAGAUGUCUUCAUGCAUGAUUGUUUUGACCUCACAUACAAAAAACAAACAAAAGAAUAUCUUAGUAGCACUACACUAGAUAAAAAAAAUUAAACAAAAAUAAAACUAAAAAGAGAAAAAAUAGGAAAAGAAAAUUUAAGAAGAAAUAAAAAUAAAUAAUUACAAAAAAAUAAUAUUUACAAUUGAAAACAUAAAUAAAAAAAUUAAAAAAAAAUUAAACGUUGCACAAGCAUCACCUUGUUAAAAUUAUC
rnacentral:lncRNA from 1 species